rnacentral:rRNA from 1 species
UACGGAAGGGGGCUAGCGUUGCUCGGAAUCACUGGGCGUAAAGGGUGCGUAGGCGGGUCUUUAAGUCAAGGGGUGAAAUCCUGGAGCUCAACUCCAGAACUGCCUUUGAAUACUGAAGAUCUUGAGUUCGGGAGAGGUGAGUGGGAACUGCGAGUGUAGAGGUGAAAUUCGUAGAUAUUGGAAGAACACCAGUGGCGAAGGCGGCUCACUGGCCCGGUACUGACGCUGAGGUGC